rnacentral:rRNA from 1 species
GAGUUUGAUCGUGGCUCAGGAUGAACGCCGGCGGUGUGCCUAAUACAUGCAAGUCGUACGCACUGGCCCAACUGAUUGAUGGUGCUUGCACCUGAUUGACGAUGGAUCACCAGUGAGUGGCGGACGGGUGAGUAACACGUAGGUAACCUGCCCCGGAGCGGGGGAUAACAUUUGGAAACAGAUGCUAAUACCGCAUAACAACAAAGGCCACAUGGCUUUUGUUUGAAAGAUGGCUUUGGCCAUCACUCUGGGAUGGACCUGCGGUGCAUUAGCUAGUUGGUAAGGUAACGGCUUACCAAGGCGAUGAUGCAUAGCCGAGUUGAGAGACUGAUCGGCCACAAUGGAACUGAGACACGGUCCAUACUCCUACGGGAGGCAGCAGUAGGGAAUCUUCCACAAUGGGCGCAAGCCUGAUGGAGCAACACCGCGUGAGUGAAGAAGGGUUUCGGCUCGUAAAGCUCUGUUGUUGGAG